rnacentral:lncRNA from 1 species
CCUCACUGAGAGGUUUUGUUUGUUUCUUUGUUUGAGGCAGAGUUUUGCUCUUGUUGCCUAGGCUGGAAUGCAAUGGCACAAUCUAGGCUCACUGCAACCUCCGCCUCCUGGGUUCAAGCAAUUCUCCUGCCUCAGCCCCCCGAGUAGCUGGGAUUACAGGCAUCCACCACCACGCCCAGCUAAUUCUGUAUUUUUAGUAAAGACAGAGUUUCUCCAGGUUGGCCAGGCUGGUCUUGAACUCCCAACCUCAGGUGAUCCACCCACCUCAGCCUCCCAAAGUGCUCUCCAUCGAGUCUCCAUGCUCCAUGGAACAGUCGACUUCACACGUCCCCAGGAGGAAUCUCACAGCAUGCAGAAGCUCUGGUAAAAACUUCAAAGGCAGCCUCUGAGGCCCAGGAGGCAUGGAAAUAGCCAGGUGCAGGAGGUGGCUUCACACCACAGACUUGGCUCUCCUCUGAGCUCCCCACCUGCUCUAGGGGCUGGAGGGAGGGCAGCCUUCCAGGUCAGACAC